ACUCUUCUAGUAUAUUAAUUACAAUCGACUUCCAAUCCCUAAAAUCUGGUGAAAGCCCAGAGAAGAGUA
rnacentral:tRNA from 2 species